rnacentral:rRNA from 1 species
UACGGAGGGUGCAAGCGUUGUUCGGAAUUAUUGGGCGUAAAGGGCGUGUAGGCGGUUCGUUAAGUCUGAUGUGAAAGCCCCGGGCUCAACCUGGGAAGUGCAUUGGAAACUGGCGAACUUGAGUACGGGAGAGGGCAGUGGAAUUCCUAGUGUAGGAGUGAAAUCCGUAGAUAUUAGGAGGAACACCGGUGGCGAAGGCGGCUGCCUGGACCGAUACUGACGCUGAGACACGAAAGCGUGGGUAGCAAACAGG